rnacentral:rRNA from 1 species
AACGAACGCUGGCGGCGUGCCUAAUACAUGCAAGUCGAGCGAAUGGAUUAAGAGCUUGCUCUUAUGAAGUUAGCGGCGGACGGGUGAGUAACACGUGGGUAACCUGCCCAUAAGACUGGGAUAACUCCGGGAAACCGGGGCUAAUACCGGAUAACAUUUUGAACCGCAUGGUUCGAAAUUGAAAGGCGGCUUCGGCUGUCACUUAUGGAUGGACCCGCGUCGCAUUAGCUAGUUGGUGAGGUAACGGCUCACCAAGGCAACGAUGCGUAGCCGACCUGAGAGGGUGAUCGGCCACACUGGGACUGGGACACGGCCCAGACUCCUACGGGAGGCAGCAGUAGGGAAUCUUCCGCAAUGGACGAAAGUCUGACGGAGCAACGCCGCGUGAGUGAUGAAGGCUUUCGGGUUGUAAAACUCUGUUGUUAGGGAAGAACGAGUGCUAGUUGAAUAAGCUGGCACCUUGACGGUACCUAACCAGAAAGCCACGGCUAACUACGUGCCAGCCGCCGCCGUAA